AGGAAAAGAAUGUCAGUUCAACCUAAAGCUAUUGUUAAUACAACAAAAUAUUAAACUUAACCUUAGAGUAAAUCAUGUAGAUAACAGCCUACUUGAAACAGGAUACAGCCUCUACCUAUGGGUAACACAAAUUCUUAAGUAACCAAGUAGGCCCAAGAGCAGCCAUCUUACACAAGAGCAUCAAAGCUUAACUACUAAUUAUAAAUUUCUAAAACAAAUUAAAACCCCCCUCACCAAUACGAGCAAUUCUAUAUGUCUACAGAAAACAAUGUUAAAACGUAACAAGAAGUUAGUUCUCUAAAAUGUAAAUGUAAGUCAAAACGAACCCCCACACUGACAAUAACAACCUUAAACAAUAGUAAUAACCCCACCAAGAAAACUUUAUUACACACCUGUCAACCUAACACAAGAACACUUAAAGAAAGACUAAAAGAAAGAGAAGGAAUUCGGCAAAACUGAUUCCGCCUGUUUACCAAAAACAUCGCCUCUUGGCUAAAGAUAUAAGAGGCCCCGCCUGCCCAGUGACAUGUUUAACGGCCGCGGUAUCCUAACCGCGCGAAGGUAGCGUAAUCACCUGUUUUUUAAUUGAAGACCUGUAUGAAAGGCACCACGAGAAUCACACUGUCUCCUUUAUCCAGUCAGUGAAACUAAUCUUCCCGUGAAAAAGCGGGAAUUCUAAUACAAGACGAGAAGACCCUUUGGAGCUUAAGACAUUAUUAGUACACAACUUACUUUUUUCCUUAUACAUAGUUAUACACUACUAUCCGUCUUGGGUUGGGGCAACCACGGAGUAAAAACUAACCUCCACGCUGAACGGAGUUCUCCUAAACAAAAAGCCACGACUUUAUGUAUCAAAAAACUGACACCAUUAGACCCAAUAUUUUGAUUAACGAACCAAGUUACCCUAGGGAUAACAGCGCAAUCCGCUUCGAGAGUUCAUAUCGACAAGCGGGCUUACGACCUCGAUGUUGGAUCAAGGUACCCUGGUGGUGUAGCCGCUACUAAAGGUUCGUUUGUUCAACGAUUAAAACCCCACGUGAUCUGAGUUCAGACCGGAGUAAUCCAGGUCAGUUUCUAUCUGUAAAAAGCUUCUUCCAGUACGAAAGGACAGAAAUAGCACGGCCAAUAUGAUACACAUGCCAUACUCAAUAACUUUUGAAUUUUCUUAAAAAUUUAUAAAUUUAUUAAUUAACUCAAGAUAAGAGAA
rnacentral:rRNA from 1 species